UGUGAGUCAGUGAGCCAGCCUGUGAGAGUCCAUUAAUGUGAAUCAGUUGGCAGAUGUGAGUUAGUGGAUGUGAGUUUGCUGGUGUGAAUCUGUUGGUCAAGGUCGACAGUCAGUGUGUGAGUGUGUGGGUGACAGUCAGUUAGUGUGUGUCGAUUGGUGUGAGUCAGUAGGUGAGGGCAACUAGGUGUGAGUCAGUAGGUGAGAGUAAGUAGGUGUGAGAGUAAGUAGGUGUGAGUCAGUGGGUGAGAGUAAGUAGGUGUGAGUCAGUGGGUGAGAGUAAGUAGGUGAGAGUCAGUAGGUGAGAGUAAGUAGGUGUGAGUCAGUGGGUGAGAGUAAGUAGGUGUGAGUCAGUGGGUGAGAGUAAGUUGGUUUGAGUCAGUGGGUGAGAGUAAGUAUGUGAGAGUCAGUGGGUGAGAGUAAGUAUGUGUGAGUCAGUAGGUGAGAGUAAGUUGGUGUGAGUCAGUAGGUGAGAGUCAGU